UUAAAGAUAGUUUAAAUUAGAACAGUAGCUUUGGGAGUUGUUGGUGCUUUGUAGAGCUCUUUAAA
rnacentral:tRNA from 1 species